rnacentral:sRNA from 1 species
UAUUUAUGCACACGUCACCCGCGAGGCCCCGCCCCCUGGCAUCUCAUUAAGGCGAGUGUGUUCCUCUCGCCCUGUCAAUAAUCUCCGCUCCCAGACUACUCCGUUCCUCCGGAUUUCGAUCCCCCUUUUUCUAUCUGUCAAUCAGCGCCGCCUUUGAACUGAAAAGCUCAGUCUAACUUCAACUCACUCAAAUCCGAGCGGCACGAGCUCCUUCGGUGUCUUCGGCUUCCCCCCCCCUUUGCUCUUAUAUCUGACUUCUUCUUGUUGUUGUUUUUUUUUUUUACCCCCCCUUUUUUUAUUUAUUAUUUUUUUGCACAUUGAUCGGAUCCUUGGGAACGAGAGAAAAAAGAAACCCAAACUCACGCGUGCAGAAGAUCUCCCCCUUCCCCUCCCCUCCUCCCUCUUUUCCCCUCCCCAGGAGAGAAAGACCCCAAAGCAGGAAAAAAAGUUAACCUUGGACUCGUCUUUUUCUUGCAGUAUUUUUUUUGGGGGGGACUCGCAAAACUUUUUUCUUUUUUUUUCUUUUUUUUUCCUUUUCUUCCUCCUUCAUUUUUCUUCCAAAAUUGCUGCUGGUGGGUGAAAAAAAAAAUGCCGCAGUUGAACGGCGGUGGAGGAGAUGACCUAGGCGCUAACGACGAACUGAUCUCCUUCAAAGACGAAGGCGAGCAGGAGGAGAAGAACUCGGAAAACUCCUCGGCGGAGAGGGAUUUAGCCGAUGUCAAGUCGUCGUUGGUCAAUGAAUCAGAGACGAAUCAAAACAGCUCCUCCGAUUCCGAGGCGGAAAGACGGCCUCCGCCUCGCUCCGAAAGUUUCCGAGAUAAAUCCCGGGAAAGUUUGGAAGAAGCGGCCAAGAGGCAAGAUGGAGGGCUCUUUAAGGGGCCACCGUAUCCCGGCUACCCCUUCAUCAUGAUCCCCGACCUGACGAGCCCCUACCUCCCCAACGGAUCGCUCUCGCCCACCGCCCGAACCCUCCAUUUUCAAUCCGGCAGCACUCAUUACUCUGCGUACAAAACGAUUGAACACCAGAUUGCAAUUCAGGUAGGAGGCCAAGAGAUUCUGAAACUUGAAUUACCAACGUGUAGGUCUCUUGUGUCUUUUUAUUCUAUGCCUACUCACCCAGAUGAUGUUGAUGAUGGUGGUGAUGAUGUUAAUGAUGAUGGUGAUGAUGAUGAUGUUGAUGGUGAUGGUGAUGAUGGUGGUAUUGAUAAUGAAGAUGAUGGUGCUGUCAUUAUAGAGAUGUGGUGGCGGCGGUUGGUGGUUUGAAUUAUUGAGGGGAGGGCGUGGGAAGUGAAGAAGAACAGAAGCAAUGUUCUUAAAAUGAUUUAAAGAUAUGAGAAGAGAGAUGAGUCUAUGUUGCUUAAGACUAUCUUGAUCAGGCAUCAUGGGUGCCCUGACCCCAGGUUGGUUAUGGUUACUGUCUUUUGCUGAAGGAAUGACCUUGAGUUGAGAGUGGAACUGGUUGGCGAAAUGUGAAUGGGAAGGGCGAGAUAGGGAGCCGGACAGGCGAGAGCCAGGGUGAGCUGCUUCCUGUGAAUCAGUGCUAUGGUGAGUGGUGCUAAGAACACCACUCUUGACCAAUUCACCCUGAAACAUUGAUUUCUCUUGGGCCUCUUGAUAUAGGACACUAGAAGCGUUGGAGGGAAAGGCGACAAGAUCCUGACUUCUGAUGAGUGUCGUGUUUCCUGUGCAUCUAAUACCUUCAUUCUUCUAAGAAUGGCUAAACAGAUCACAGACUAACAUAGAUGUGGACUGAACAGAAGCAAGCCAGGGGAGAGCAGUGGAGGGCUCACGCCAACUAACACACUCUUGUCUGCCUGCCUGGCUUUGCUAUGAGGGUGUGUUUCAUGGUGUCCCAUGCUGUACCCCUACACUAUAUUCCCACAUUUGACUGUUUUGUGUUAAGCCCUGGCAAGGAGGCUUUUGCAAGCCUUGGCUGUGGUAUGGAAGUUCGCCUUAGGCUCCUCUAAGUUGCUAUUGGUUUAUUGGUUUGGUCUUUCAUACGAAGCUUUUGCAGGUUACUUGUGUUAGUGUGUUUGUGCGUGUGGAUGUGCAUGCCUAUGUACACAUGCGUAUACAGGAUUGUGUGUAGCAUGUAUGUGCGUGUGCGUUCAGGGUAUACGCAAAUACAUGCAUGCAGAUGGGAGUGUGUGCACACGUGUGGCCAAAUGGAGCUUCUAGUUCACACCCACCAUAUUAUAUCUUCUUAGCUUUGCUAUUUCAGAUCUGCCAUUGAAAUGGCCAUCUGCCCAGGUGAAUGGGAUUAUCCCUCCAGUGAGAAGCAUGAGUCAGCAGGUCUUUCCAAAAUUCGGUUGGUUCUUAGUUGUUUUGAUUUCAAGACUAUGUAGUAACUGGGCUUAAAACCAUUUACAUUACCACUGUGCUUGGGUUAGGGCAUGGUUUUCUGUGUGCACUUCUGUGUUCACUCCUGUGUGCACACACCCGCCCCCACCCCCCAGCUUUUACUCGUCUGUGCUCAGAUGUUUUCAAGACUGGUGUGGUAAGCAUGAAGCUCCAGUUCUUUCUGGCACACUUCCUGUUGGAAGCCGCUUCCUUUUAAGGCCCAGUAAGUCUUGCUUUUAGAAAACAGUUCAGACUGAAGGCUUGGUUAGAGAAAAGUCCAAACCCCAGCUCUGGAUGAGUGCUCUGAUAAUCACAGUGUCCCCAGGCCUAGGAGGCCCACUCCAGCACAGGAGGGUGGGGAAGUCUUGUUGCCUGGGGUGUGGGAAUUGUUGAGGCUGAAUAGGACAGUGAUCCUUAUCUUGGUGUGGAAAGGCUGGCUGGGGCCAUGUCACUGGGAGACCAGCCCAAGACCAGCCCAGCUGUUGAAUCUUUACACCCGGCGGUGAAGUGUCCCUUGUUUGGAGGCGCAGUUCGUCUUUCUCCAAACCACCUGGCACGAUGCGGGCCAUGUGAAGCCCUUUCUCAGGAGGAAGAUGGAGUAAAUUACAGAGCUUAUUGUUUGGAGGGCUGAAACCAUCCCUGUUCCUCCAUGAACAGGUGGUAUUGUUCUCCUUUCCUUCUAUUUGCUAAGGCCUGAUGCCCAUGUGGGCAAACAGAGGGACGUUUUAUUGGAGCACCAGCAGUAUGCUUUCAAAAGUGUCCAUUCUCCCUCCGUGUCUGCUGGACCAGCACAAGGCCAAGCCAAAUGGCAGCUAGCUGUAGCGUUAGCGUGAUCAUCAAAGGAUAAGUGGCCAAAAGCAAAACAAAAGAAGUAGAGGGAAGAAGAAAAGGCAGCUCAGACAGAGUGAGAGUGUUCUCAGAAUUCUCUGGACGUUUCAGCCUGGGUAGGGUGGGAGGAGAGGUGGGGCAGCCCCUGCCAGUGUCCAGAAAACAGACCCGGACUUCUCUGCCUUCUUCUCGUCUGAAGAUGAACUCCAAUGGGAUGUUGGGGCAGCAGUUUCUUCCCUGGAAACUUAGAACUGGAUGAACCUUAGUAAAUACUGUAUUUCAGCAGGAGCUGAACUUGCUGCUCCCCUAAGCUCCGUCCUAAAAUAACUUGGUAGUAUGACACCGGGUAUCACAUGAGGUUCAUUCCCUCCUGCCCUCCCCACCUCUCUCAUCUCAGCACUCAGCCAGGCUCACCAUGGGUGUGAAUGGCCUCGGAGUGACUCUAUAGGCACACCACUCCUCCCCUAGUAUCAGUGGCAUAGCUGGGACCUUCCUGAGCUUUUGAUCCCGUCUCCUAGCCCUCCUUGGCUCUGAAAGGACAAGGGCAGUGAGACUGGCUGAGAACACCAUAUACCUGGGCUUAAAACUGAAGAGGCUCGAAAUAUACACCGUGUGGCUAUUAUUAAUAAUGAUAACAAGUUAUUUAAUCCUGUUGCUCUCUCUCUCUCUCUCUCUCUCUCUCUCUCUCUGUGUGUGUGUGUGUGUGUGUGUGUGUGUGUGUGUGUGUGUGUGUGUGUUUGUGGUGGUGGUGGAACACAGGCCCUCCUGUCUGAUAAGCGUGACCUUGUUCCCCGUGUUGUACCUCGGACCACUGGCCUCUCAGAAGUGUCACUGAAGCACCGUGUAGUCCACCGGUGGUUAGUUAAGGAGAAGGAUGGCCUUACAGAUCCAAGGUAGAGGCCACUGCAAAGCUCUAACCCUGCUGCCCACUCUCCUGCAGGGUAACAAUGUCAUCUGUCUCCCUGAGCAUCCAAGAGGCCUCACAUCAGUGUGUGGAUGGGACUCGUGCAUAUUUUAAGCCUUUGAGGAUAUAUAGUUAGUCUGGUUACUCUACUGUUACUUUGUUUGGGAGCAUCUUGGGAUGAACAUGAAGAAGAAAAAAAACAUGGCGGUGUUUCAAUAAAACUUUAUUUAUAAACACAAACACUGGCUGUAUUUGGCCCCUGGGCUGGAGUUUUCCAAUCUCUGAUGAAAUACUCUGAAGUCUCUCCCUUGUUCCUCUCUCUUCCCGGUGUUGCGGCUUCUUCCUCUCUCCCCAGCCUGAAACUGAAAUUCCAAUGGUGGAUUCCUUCAGCCUGACUUUUUGUUUGUUUGUUUUUCUUGGCUCCAUACGAGUGGAAUCAUGCAGUAUACAUUGCUCUGUGUUGUUGGAUACUUGGUUGUUUCCAGCUUCCCCUAGUUACAAUACAGGACUAGUUGAUUUUGUACGUCUUUUGCAGGGUUGUUGUGUCUGUGCACAUUGUCUUACAGGAGCAGAUGCACUUAGGGCUAGCGUGGAGAGGUGUAUAGGAAGCUUUGCGUCCAUUUCUUAUAGAUAGAGGCCUGCUCACGGAAUGAUGAGUGUCAUCUUCGAGAUGAGCAGCAAUUGGUCAUGUCGAGAUUGGUGGCGUAUUUGAAGGGGGUAGCAAUGGAGGAUCUACAUGCUACACGUAGUUCCUCGUGACCAAUGCUACAAUGUAGCUCCUCGAGAUCAGUGCUACACUGUAGCUCCUACCAACUCCUCAUGCAGGAGUUUGUCCUCUGUUCCCGGCUCUUAGGAAUUUCUCCACUAUCUCUGUUAAAUGGUGAGGAAGACUCAUGCUGACUCAGGAGGAACAGAGCUGCCUCCUGGGGAUGGCCUGCGGGUGGGUUGUGCACACAGUGAGGCAUCUCCAUAUCUCUCUUCCAACAUUCCUACGGGGUCAUUAUUGUAGCCUCUAAGAGCAGCUCGGUAAUCAAGGCCGAGACCAACAGAUGAUGUUUCCCCGGGUUCUCUGAAGAGCUACUUGAAAACCAAUUAAGCUUUGUUUUAAGAGUAUUUUUGGCCAAAGGUUGAUGUUUUAACACGGAGUCAGAUGUGAUUUAGGGGGAAAAGCUCUACACGCAAACCAAAACAAACUGUGUAGACCUUUUGUGGUUGUUUUUCUCUGGAGAUGUGAAGUGGUUUCUGUAUGUGCACGUCUGUGCGUGUGGUCACAGACAGCGAGGAGAGGAUCCAGGAGAGACGGACCUUUUUGUUUGUUUGCACAGCUGAGCGGAGGAGACUUUGCAAUGAGCUUUGCUUUCCCUCCUGUUCUUAAGCUUGCGAGAUCUCAUGUGAGCUCUCCGAAGCACUCAGUCCUACACCUCCUCUACAGGGGCUCAGUGGGGCCCUCAGGACCUCCUUGGUUACCAUUGGGAGUCAAUGCAGGAAGCUUGGGAAGCUUGCUCACCCUGGCUCUUUAUCCUGGGUGUGUGCAGGGUGCCCUGUCCCAUAGACAUGUGAGGCGCCAAGGGCUGGAGCUCCCCAUUCUGCCCACCAGAUGAGGACGGCUGGAGGAUUUGUUCAGAACUGAGUGUGAUGGAACGGGCGUGAGGGUUCCUGGUUUUCCUCUUGGGGUUCUGAGGUUGGCCUCUGUUGUUCUUAAUCUGACCUCUUACUCAUUCUCUUACUUGGCCUUUCAUCUCAUGGAUGGGCUGAGUUGGGCUAAGUGGAAACGUUCCCAGAAAUCAGUGCGUUUGAGUUUCAAACUAUUAUUAUUAUUAUUAUUAUUAUUAUUAUUAUUAUUAUUAUUAUUAUAAAUUUUAAGACAGUAUGUCAUGGAGCUUGGGUGAGCCAUGGCUGAGGGCAUGCACACUGUUGCCUGGCCUCCAAACUCAGUGUCUGGUGUUAGCCCUUGCUCAGAUGUGAUCAUGUAUGCUCACUCUCCACAGAGCCAUGGUGGGGGAGCAGGCGUGCUUGUGUGCAAGUGGGUUGGGGAGGCGCUCUCACCUGACGUACUGGUGGGUAGUAGCUCACUCCCUCAGGAGUUUCAUUCACUGGAAAGGCAUUUGUGAGUAAGGCAGACAAAAAUCUCUUGCUUGUGGCUGCUUUCUGUGCUGUUUCGGAUACUGUUAGAUUUUUCUGUUUUUUUUAAAAACAUUGAUUCAGUGUUUUGGUGUGUGUGUCUAGGUCUCUGUGCGUAUGGGUGUGUCUAUACAUAGGUCUGUGUUUAUGUGUGUCUGUGUGUAGCUCUGGGGAUGGAACUUGGAACUCUGUCAUGCUGGUGACAAAUGCCAUUACCUGCUGAGCCAGCCACAGACACCGGUUUCUAAGCACCACACCUUGCUCUAACUCAGUGGUUCCCAGCCUUCCUAACUCUUUGACCCUUUGAUUCAGUUCCUCAUGCUGUGCUACCUCGAGACUGUAAUUUUGCUAUUUGUUAUGAGUCAUGAUGGGAGUAUCUGUUUUUCUGAUGGUCUUAGAUGACCCCCAUGAAAGAGCCAUUUGACCCCAGAGGGGUCGAGACCCACAGGUUGAGAACCACUUCUCUAAUGGUUCACCUUCCUGCUCAGUCCAAGAGCUGUUGCCUUUGGGAUGAUCGUUAUUUGUGGUUUAGCGGGUUGGAGCCAGGCCUGUGUCCAUCGUGCCUGCAGUCCCAUCUCUAAUCAGAUUUUUCAAGUGCCGAAGGUUGAGAGGGCAGCCUUAGAUUCUUCUGAAAUCAAUCCAUUGAUUAUUUAUUGGAAUCUCUGCUGUUCUCAGUCGCCCACUGGAAACCGAGGGCUGCAAAUAUUCCUCCGGGGGUAUUAUUUCUCCAAUGGGUGAGAGCAGACGGCCUUUCUGUUUCAGCGAGCUUCUGUCAAGGCCUCUGCCUGGGUCCCUGGCUUCUGUGAAGAGGGCAUUUAGCUCUGAGAGUGUAGCUGGGGCAAGAUAGUGUUUGGUGUGGGGCUCAGAGGCAACAACAACAACAGUUAAUAAUAAUAGCUUGUGCUUAUUGAGUUCUGGUUCACUGGGUCAAGGGUUAUGUGCUUUCUCUGGGUUACUCAUUGAUCUCUCCUCAGUGCAGGGAGGCGGGGCUGAGCGGCAGAGUUCCUGUUAUAACCAUGGUUGCUACCCCAUUUUGCAAAUGAGGAAGUAGAGACCUGAUGCGUUAUUUUUCCCAAGGUCAGUUAGGAUUCAAUCCCAGGCCAUUGUGGAGUACUGCUGGCAUAGUUUCAUGCUAAGCUGGCUGUUCAAAGCCAUGCUCUAGGCUAAGGAUGUGGCUGAGCAGCAGAGUGCAUGCCUGAGGCCUUGAGUUAGAUUCCCAGCACUGACAAGGCUAAACAGAGGGCCUACCUGUUUUCAAAGGCCGUGGCUGACACCCAGCUUCCUGGACUAUACAGAGAGCCCAUGGGACCUCUGCUGCAUGCACGUCCCGGGAGCUCUUCAUUGGAGGUUGCUGUUCUUAGUAUGUCCUGAAUUUGAGCUACUAUCUCCUGGGAACAUCUCAGAGCUUAAGGACUGGGAUCCUGUCCCAGACUCACUUUCUGUAGGUCUGGGACGGGAGCCUGCGUUUGUAGUUUUACCACAUUAUUGAGUGAAUCUGGAGUCCUUCUCUGGGUCAGUGGAGAACCAUGAGUCCAAGGCAGUGGUUCCCAACGCUGACCAUACAUCAGAGGUACCUGGGAACAAGCCCAGACACCUGGCCUAGACACCCAGAUUAGCAUCCUUUGAGUGUCAGGUCUAACAUCAGUUUGGUAAUAGCUUCCAGGGAAUUCAACGAAACAUUGUUGGGGCGCUCUGGCCUUGACACCCUGGAGUCUGCCACAGCUCCUCACUCAGGACAGCAUUGUGUAUAAUGUGUAGUUUGUAUAGUGGUGGAGGACAGAUGUACCAAGCUCCCUCCCUCUUUUCUUUUUAGUGGGACAGAAGGUUAGUUUGUUUCUUUAAACUUGACUUGUCCUACCUGGAGAAAAGAAACUGGCUGCAUUUGUUUUCAGAGUGCUCUGUGGACAGGGAACCGGUGACAACCACUGUCUCCUAGGUUAGAACUGCGGGGAGAGAUGUGUUGUGGCAUCACGGGCUGGGGACUGCAGAGCCCUGGAGGAGAGGCGCUGGGUAGCCUCUUGCUUCUCACACUGGCAGGUCACGCUGAAGUCAGGCUGGAUUCCAUUGGUCUGAAGCUGGGCUUGGGCACCUGCAUUUCAAACUAGGCAAAGCUGACUCUUGGAACAGAGCACAGAAAGGGUCCGUGUGGAUAGCCCUGGAAAGUAAGGACAGAGAAGCAGACAGUCUUCAUUUUUCCAGGAUUCUACACCUCAAUGGAAGCAGGGCAAGGUGAGCAUUGAAGAAUUGAAGUACAGAUUUAUUUUAUGAGUGUUUGCCUGAAUAUUAGAUUGUAUGCCCCACAUGUGUGACUCUCUGUGAAGUCAGGAGAGGGCAGUGGAUUCCCCUAAACUGGCAUACGGAUGGUUGUGAGCCACAAUGUGGGUGCUGGGAAUUGAACCAAGCUCCCCUCCAAGAGCUCCAAGUGUUCUUCAGGGAUGAACCCUUUCUCCAGCUCCUACACCCGCCUUUGUAAGCACAAGUUGGUGUCUUGACCCUAAGUCAACAGCUGCUGCCCCGUGCUGGCCAGAUGAAGUCAGCUGCUGGCCUCACUACACUUUACUGCCCCAUCGCCCUCGAUUUGGUCUCUAUCUGUGUCAUGGCUCUUGCACUUCUUCACUUGGUCCGCUCCAUUGUGUGGCAUCGAGAGGCCAGCUUGUACCGGUCUUGAGAGGAUGGCUUAGGAUGCAGGCACAGUUCUGGUUCCAGAUCAAAAGGGGGAAACUAGUGUCCUGUCAGCUGUCUGAGUGUCUCCACUGUGUGGGCCACAGUGAGUGUGUAUGGAGGCCUGGUUUUUCUCAGCAUGAGAGAGAAAGUUUAUGUUUCAUUUUGUGAUAUUUGCAUUUUUAAAAUAAAGUUCUUGACAAUUAUGGGUGAUGUUUACCUGGGCACUGAACUUUCUAAGUGGGUUAGAGUUGGUAUUUACAGCCUUAUCAAGCCUGGCACUUUUUGUUUCUGGAGUUCAGUUGAGACAGCUGGUAUCAAGUCCUAAUCAAGCAGAUAAAUGGCUGCUGGGUCUUUUUUCCCCAUUUGCUGGCUUACCAUGCUGGCAGCAGAGUUAUCCCCGAGGGAGGGUCCUACCCAAACCGUGGCUUGGCAGCAUAUUUAGUGCUUAAUCAGAUUGCAAAGGAAAGUUUCAAAGACGCUGCAUGCACUCUGUAACUUAUUAUAGAAAGAAACAUUAGAAUCAAAGGUGUGUGGGCUCUUUGAAGCAUCCUCACAAAAGCCUUGGUUUUGAAGCAUGCAUUUAGAAAAGCAUCGCCUACACCACUUUCCUUAUGGGCCGGGGGCUGGGCUUCAAACAUCCCUGCCUUUGCUAUUGGAUGGAAGUAGGGUGACUGACAGGUAGGGUGGGGCGGCUUAGCACAGAACCUGUCAGCCUCAGAACCGGUGAGAUUUUGACCCAGGUCGGGGAGGAAGCUAUCUGUAUUACCAUCUCUGUCCUCCCGCUCAGCAGAAACAUGGCAACUAAAAGUACUCCCAGAAAGGACCUGGUGUUCCUUGGGGGUCAGAGACACCUCUGGCUGGGAAAGUGUGUGUCCUCCCACUGAUGACGCCACAGCCACGCCCAGCUUCAUUUGCAUUUUAAAGGAACUGGAGAAUAGGUGGGGACUGUGAGGGUGGGGUGUCUUAGGUAGCCUGGGGUUGAGUCUCCAGUGUGCCAAGCUUCCCACUCCUACUGUGAAAUGGUGGCUCCAGAGGUGGUUUCCUGAGGUUGUUGAGAGGCUGGCUGGGGCAGGGUUUGGCAUGAGCUGGGCAGUGCAGCGGUGCACAGGAGGGUACUUGCUGAAGGCUCCUUGCUAUCUUUGUCACUGACACCCGCGAGGCCCGUGUUUGCAGGACUGGAGUACGGCUCAUCCUGACGUGCAGUGUAUAUUCUUUGUUUGCUGUCAGGGCCCUCACUCAUGAUGGAUUGGAUAGCCUUGGCUAUCCGCGAUGGGUAACAUAGAUUUAUGAGUCCUGUUCGUUGCUGUUUACAUUUGUCUUAUGUCACGUAAAGGUUCUGCCGCACCUCUGUGACAUGCAGGGUCUUCCUAAGGGCUGGGAUUGUGUUUCACUCAUAUUCAUAUCCUUGUAGUUGGAGCUGUAGUCGGUGGACAGGAGGGGUGAGUGUUAAAUACCUCCCAGAGUGCAUGGGGAGGCAACUCGCUUGUUAGAGUGCUUGCCUAGCAUGCAUGGACACUCGGUUCAAUCCGAGUGCUGUAACAACUGCCUGCAUAAACUGCCUGUAAUCCCAGAACUCAGAAGGUGGAGGUCAUCCUCGGCUUCCAAGUGAAUUCAGGUCAGCUUGGGCUACAUAAGAUCCUGCCACAGACAGACCGAAAAACCAGUUUAUCAACCAGUGAACCAAACCACAUCUAGCUGAGCAGAAAGGAAACAAGUAUGAGUGAUAUACAUGGGGUAAUACAUAUAACAUGGGAUAACAUACACAUAUGGGGUAACAUACAUACAUGUGGGGGUGACACAUAUAACAUAUGAAGUAGCAAUAUAACAGAGUAACACAUUUAACAAUGGGAUACACAUAACAUAUGGGGUAUACAUAUAACAUAUAUAACAUAUAUGGUAACACAUGUAACAUAUGGGGUAACACAUAACAUAUGGGGUAACAUAUGUAACACAUGGGGUAACCAUAUAACAUGGGGUACACAUAACAUAUGAAGUAGCACAUAUAACAUAUAGAGUAACAUAUAUAAUGUGGGGUAUCACAUGUAAUAUAUGGGGUAACACAUAUAAUAUGAGUUAACACAUAUAACAUGUGAUAACAUAUAACAUGGAGUAACAUAUAUAACACAUGCGAUGCACAUAACAUGGGUAACAUAACAUGGAGUAACACAACAUAUGAAGUAGCACAUAUAACAUAUAGAGUAACAUGUAUAACAUAUGGAGUAAUAUAUGUAAUAUAUGGGGUAACACAUAACAUGAGCUAACACAUAUAACAUGGGAUAACAUAUAUCACGGGGUAACAUACAUAACAUAUGUGAUACACGUAACAUGGGGUAACAUAUAACAUGGGGAUAACACUUAUAACAUAUGACCUAAUAUGUAACACAUGAGGUAGCAUAUGUAGCAUGUGGGGUAGGUCAGUGUGUUUUGGAAAUGGCAAUGAGGUUCUUUUCCAGAUUUUUAAAUAAUAACCCCUUCAGAACAUGGAAAGCCAAUUGUAAUGUGUUUCUUGAUUUCUACUAGUAAUUCAAGUGUGUGUGAGGGAAUCUAGUCCCUCUGUCAAGUUGGUGUUCUCUCCCGCGUUUUCCAGUUUGAUGUUUGAUGUCAGCUGUCCUUAGUGCUAAUGCAUGCUACCUUAAUGGCUGUGGGUGCUGUGACUUCAGGGAGUGGCUGGGGUUAGGCACUUUGUGUUUGACUGAUUUUCGGAACACGGGACUUAGCUGGGCAUUUAAAAACUCUCAUGUCACCUAGAGGUUCUGCCGCACCUCUGUGACAUGCAGGAUCUUCCUAAGGGCUGGGAUUGUGUUUUACUCAUAUUCAUAUUCUGGUUGUUGGAGCCGUGCCGUGGGUGGACAGGAGGCACGAGCGUUGAACACUUCACCGAGUAUUAAGAUGAUAAGGACUGGUGUCCAUGGGGUCAUAUCACGGUUUUAGGCUUUGACAGGUGUCAGUCAUUCGCUCUGAGAGCUUUACUGCUGGUGGAUGCAUAAGCCACCUAACCCGGUUCUUUCUGCUCUCAAGCUCUGUGCGUCUCUGAAUUUUUGAGGUUGAGAUGGAGGCCCAGAAUAAAUAAAUAGUCCUGGUAGAAAGCCGGACAGUUUCCUAGACUUGAAAAUGGAUGUCUGUGGCAGUUUUCCUUCCGAGGGGCACUGGGAGACUCUUCCCACUGCCCUGCAGGGAAGACAGCCCUGUGUCAAUAGUUUCUUAGUUGAUCCCGUAAGCAUGGUUGAUGAUUGAAAUUGAAGAAUCACCAGGACAAUUCAUCUUGAGGAGCAGAGAGCAUUGGGUGUGAGCCAGGCUGCGGGGAGCAGACAUUGACAUACGGGCCGUCAUCAAACUAAUUGUUGUUUGAAUUACCUGUUAUGAUCCGAUGACAAAUCUGCCUUGCUCCUGUCACUGGAGCAGAAAAUGUAGCUUGAAUUGGCGUGAUGUUACCAAGUGUAAACUGUACUUCAACAAGAUGGAUAAACCCAAUUAUGGGGCAGACCUGUAGAGAGAAAAUCCAUUUAAAUCUCGUAAUGUUAAGCAGAGCUGUGUUUAAUUCAUUUGGACCAAUUUGGGGAUGAUGUAUGAGUGCCGGCGAACAUUCGUCAAAGGGGUGACCGUGGGCAAAAUGUGAUGUGCCGGGCUGCGGCCACUCUUGUGAGGCAGCUGCGUGUCGGCCUACACUAAUGGCGGGGAAAACCAGAAUGACAAAAAGAUGUACUCAGGGCCCAGGGGAACGGCGCUGUGUAAAUGAACCAAUAAGGAAAAUAUACGAAGCAGAAAGGAGAUCUGUUUUUCCUGAAUGCCACUGACAGUUCAAGUCACAGAGGACUGGGAGGCUCUGACCAGCUUCCAGCCGGACACCCUUAACGGGCUCUUCUGACCUUCUGAUGAGAGACCUAGGAAAGUGUUCUUUCUAGAGAGCGAAGGAUGAGUGGCAGGGGGCGGGGGGGGGCAGUCAUGUCAGGAGAGAGCAGGCUUGAGAUAUAUAUAUAUAUAUGGAUAUUUAAUUCCCUAUUGGAAAGUUAAAGGGGCAUUAUGUUCUGAGAAACAUGUAUGAUGAAUAUUUGAAGACAUUUGAAAAGUCUUAACUUAUUUAACAGCUAUUUGGAAUAGCCCGUUUUGAAUAGCUAUUGGAUAAUGUAGCCUCACACAUGGUAGGCGCUUUACUAGCUAUGUAAACGGAAGCAUUGAACCAAGGGAGGGACUUUCUCAGCUAGACACCUGAGCUCCCGAGGACACAGAGUAAGGACCUUCAUGACUGUUUCCAUUCUGUGGUCACCCCUGGCUUGCCCAUCUCCAUCUGGUAUUUGUUUAAUUGUAUGACAAUGGUGGGUUGGAGUUAUAAUUGUGAUAACAUCUUAUUUAACAUGUGUGCAUGUAUGUGUGUGUGCUGGCUGGUACACACACCAGGACAUGUAUGUGUGGGCUAGAGGACAGCUUGUCUGAGUCCAUUCUUUCUGUGCACCGUUGGGGAUUAUAGGAUCGAACUGAGGUGGUCUGCGUUGGUGGUGGGCGCCAUUACCUGCUGAACCAUCUCGCCCUCCCUGCUUCCGCCGGUUUUGUGAACGUCUAUAUCAUAUAUUGAGCACAUUCCCCUGGGCUUUGCUUUUUAUUGCUCUGCAGUAAUGUCUUUCCAGCAGUGUCCUCGGAAGACUGCAGCCUUGUUAUAUUUUGGGAGGAGAGCUGAAGCCCCACUAAGGGGAGGGACUUACUUCCUUUUCCCUUUUGUUUCUGGGUUUUCUUAUUUCUCUUUGGAUUGGAUUGGACUUGUGAGCAGCAAGGAGGACUCAGGGCCCUGAGGAACACUUCCUGCUGAAUGAAUGCAGUGACGUGAAUGGAGGAUUGCCCCAUCGCCAGGAGACAGUCUACCUGAUGGGGCAUGGUGUGCUCUCGGCUUGUUCCUCACAAAGCUUUUGUUCAGAGGUGUAUCUGGUGGAAAUUUCCUUUCUAGUCUUCUCCAAGUUUCAACCUAGUUGACGAGCCAGCAACGGUUUGAUAAGGAGAUAAUUAAAGCCUGGUGGUAACUUCUUAACCCUGCAUUCUGAGACCGUGAAUACACCAGCCUAGUUACCAGAAUACUUAGAGAAAUUUAAACUACCUACUUCUCCAAAAAGCCCCCAAUCUAUUCAUUCUACCCUCCAUUGACUGUGCCCCAUGGCUGGCCUCCAAACAGCUCAGAACCGGGGAACCUAGUUCAGCAGGCAUAGUGUGUGGGAUGCAACCCCCAGGUUGAAGGUGUCCGUUUGCACUGGAAGCAGCAGCCCACUUUUACACUGGGGACUCUCCUCUGGCUGUGGAAGUGAUUGGCAGAUUGAUAUUCUUGAAGGUGGGCUACAGAUGUAAGUUGGGCAGAGGAAGUUGCCUCAGGGUGUUCUCUCUCUUUCUUUCUCUGUGUGUCUCUCUCUGUGUCUCUGUGUCUCUU